CAGGCAAGUCUAUCGGGAAAUCUCCCCGCCUAACGGGGAGGCGUCCGGUGGAAACUGCCUGGCUUGGGACCGGAAGAUCCAGAGGGUACGUCCGGGGUAGGAGUGAAAUCCCGUAAUCCUGGACGGACCACCGGUGGCGAAAGCGCUCUGGAAAGACGGAUCCGACGGUGAGGGACGAAGGCUCGGGUCACGAACCGGAUUAGAUACCCGGGUAGUCCGAGCUGUAAACGAUGUCUGCUAGGUGCGCCACAGGCUACGAGCCUGUGGUGUGCCGUAGGGAAGCCGUGAAGCAGACCGCCUGGGAAGUACGUCCGCAAGGAUGAAACUUAAAGGAAUUGGCGGGGGAGCACUACAACCGGAGGAGCCUGCGGUUUAAUUGGACUCAACGCCGGACAUCUCACCAGCAUCGACAGUAGGAGUGACGGUCAGUGUGAUGAGCUUACCAGACCUACUGAGAGGAGGUGCAUGGCCGCCGUCAGCUCGUACCGUGAGGCGUCCUGUUAAGUCAGGCAACGAGCGAGACCCGCACUCCUAAUUGCCAGCAACACCCUUGUGGUGGUUGGGUACAUUAGGAGGACUGCCAGUGCCAAACUGGAGGAAGGAACGGGCAACGGUAGGUCAGUAUGCCCCGAAUGUGCUGGGCAACACGCGGGCUACAAUGGUCGAGACAGUGGGAUGCAACCCCGAGAGGGGGCGCUAAUCUCCGAAACUCGAUCGUAGUUCGGAUUGCGGACUGAAACUCGUCCGCAUGAAGCUGGAUUCGGUAGUA
rnacentral:rRNA from 1 species